rnacentral:tRNA from 1 species
GGUAGCUCAGAGGUUAAGAGCACUGGCUGUUUUUCCAGAGGACCUGGGUUCAAUUCCCAGUACCC